UACGUAGGCAGCGAGCGUUGUUCGGAAUUACUGGGCGUAAAGAGUGUGUAGGCGGUUCUGUAUGUUCGGUGUGAAAUCUCCCGGCUUAACUGGGAGGGUGCGCCGGAAACUGGAGUGCUCGAGCGUGGGAGAGGAAAGCGGAAUUCCUGGUGUAGCGGUGAAAUGCGUAGAUAUCAGGAGGAACACCUGCGGUGUAGACGGCUUUCUGGACCAUUGCUGACGCUGAGACACGAAAGCGUGGGUAGCAAACAGG
rnacentral:rRNA from 1 species